UAUGGCAUUUUUUAUGGAAAAAUGAGUAGGUAUAUCGUGUUACCUUUUGUUGAGAAAUGAGAAGUAAUCUUGGUCAAGGUCGUGGCAGAUAACGAAUGAGUUCAACUGAAUGAUCCUAAGAAAAGCAGCUACGAUUUUAGUGGAAUUUAUUUUUUGCACAAGGUUCCAUCUUUCCUCUUUAUUCAUGAACAUGCUGAUAGUUAAACAGAAAUUCUGUUUUCCACGAUAAUUUCCUAUUUCAUACAGCGAUCUUACUUCCCCUAUCGGAAAAUAGAGGACGCUACUGCUUGGGAAAUUCGAUUUUCAGUAUUGUCCCCAUCAAGGUUCUGGAAAGUAUGCCGAUGAAAAUUUAUGAUUGCAUGACUUUGGCAUGGAGAAAUUUUUUGAUUUAUAGAGUUCAUGAUUCAGAAAUUGUUGAUUUAGGUUUUGAAUAUUGGAAUAGAUAGAUAACAAGUUGAAAAACAAGGUCAAAUACAGAAAUAUAUAGAGUAGUUCACGUUUCCAGAAUAUAACAGAUUUUGUGUUAUAUCAUUACGAAUUGGUUUUUGGAAAAAACUCAAGUUAUAGGUACGACAACUCUCGAAUGGAAAGAAAUAGAACUUGAGAUUUUCAGAGUGGGUUUGGAUCUCCAAUGUGCGCUUCAGUUCGUUUAUAAGCGUCCCUGUGGUUCUGUAAUUAUGAAUAGAAUUGUUCAAACAACCGCAUAUACUACCUUUAUUCAACUAAUGGGAUUUCAUCCUUGUUCCUGGCACUGGAUACCUUCAAUAUCAAGACAUUUUGUUGCCAAUAAUAUAUUAAAAUAUUCAUACACCUC